rnacentral:rRNA from 1 species
AGCGAACGUUUGCGGCGGGCUUAACACAUGCAAGUCGAACGGGCUGUUCCUUCGGGGGCAGUCAGUGGCGCACGGGUGCGUAACACGUAGGUAAUCAACCCUCUGGUUGGGGAUAACACUUCGAAAGGAGUGCUAAUACCCGGUAUGGCGCAGCGGUCUUCGGAUCGCGGCGAGAAAGACCCGCAAGGGUUGCCAGAGGACGAGCCUGCGGCCCAUCAGCUAGUUGGCGAGGUAACGGCUCACCAAGGCGAAGACGGGUAGCUGGUCUGAGAGGAUGAUCAGCCACACUGGCACUGAGAUACGGGCCAGACUCCUACGGGGGGCAGCAGUGAGGAAUAUUGCGCAAUGGGCGAAAGCCUGACGCAGCGACGCCGCGUGGGGGAUGAAGGUUUUCGGAUUGUAAACCCCUUUCAUGAGGAAAGAUAAAGUGGGUAACCACUUAGACGGUACCUCAAGAAGAAGCCACGGCUAACUUCGUGCCAGCAGCCGCGGUAAUGUCUAG